UCACGAGGGAGGGAGGGGAGUCACCGGUUGUCGACUCGAGAAAUGUCACUCGGUUAAUUGAAUUAUGUUUUGAAAUUGUUUUCUUUUGUAUUGGUUUACACAUAGAUUUAAUUAAUUUCGUACAAUGCGGGUUCAGUUGUAAAUUGUGCAGUUCUUCGGCAAGUUAUUGAUAAUGUGUUCCGCAGUGAUGGUAUAUCACAAAAAAAUAAAUCGAUAUAAUUUUCGUAAGAAAAUCGUCAUAUAAAACCGGCGAUCAUUUUACUUUUAUUGUUUAAAAAAACCAAUUAGUAAAAUAGGGUCGAUCAAUAGAGUGCAAUUUUAGAAUCAUAGAAGAAUAUUUAUUGGGAAUCAUGUCAUUUCGCAGUUUAGGAAAAUUAUUUAAAACAAAAAAGAAUGAUAAACAGGAGAGCAAAGAAAUCUCAUUGCCCACAGAAGGCUUCCACAAGAGUAUUCAGAUGUUGCUGGCUUAUUCGGGGCAACAUCUCACCGAAGCUGGCUUAGAAACGAGGGAAGUGUUAUUGGACAGCCCAUCCCGCUGUGGCCUCCACAGUGUGGCGGUGCUUCGCUGCCUGGGCCGCAGCCGCGGGGUCGCCGGCGCAGACCCUUUUGAAGACUUGGAGAUUGACAAGAUUGUGGAUGUUUUCAUUGACCUGUUAAACAAGAUACAAGCAGUAGGCGCAGAAGAGUUGGAUUCCCGAGCCAGUCCAUACGACGAAAAAACGGCGCUAGCGUGUCUCGCCAAACUAGACGCUGUUGUGGCCACCAACCGCGGCCACCUAGCGCUCAGCAAGGUAAACUCUGUUAUACUACUGACCCGAGUCAACCCAUUCGACGAAAAGACGGUGCUGGCGUGACUUGCUAAACUGACGCUGUCGUGGCCACCAACCGGGGCCACCUAGCGCUCAGCAAGGUAAACUCACGUUACACUAUUAUACUAAUGGCCCGAGUUAGUCCAUUCGACGAAUAGAUGGCGCUGAUGCGUCUCGGCAAACUAUAGUAUUUUUAAACUGGAAGGGUACGCUGAUAGAUGUCAAUUCAAUACAAUUUUGCAACACCUGUUCCAAUUUGAAAAAUACUAUAGAUGCUGUCGUGGCCAUCAACCGCGGCCACCUAGCGCUCAGCAAGUUAACCUGGGCGGACUUCCUGCUGGCCGGCAUGUGGGAGCACGUGCAGCGGUCGCUGGACCUGUCUAGCGACCAGUUUGCCAACAUCGACCUGCUGGUACAGCAGCUCACUGCGGUGCCGGCUGUGAAGACGGCUUUAGA